AACGAACGCUGGCGGCAUGCCUAACACAUGCAAGUCGAACGAGACCUUCGGGUCUAGUGGCGCACGGGUGCGUAACGCGUGGGAACCUGCCAUUAGGUUCGGAAUAACUCCCCGAAAGGGGUGCUAAUCUCGGAUAAUGUCUUCGGACCAAAGAUCUAUCGCCUUUGGAUGGGCCCGCGUUGGAUUAGCUUGUUGGUAGGGUAAAAGCCUACCAAGGCGACGAUCCAUAGCUGGUAUGAGAGGAUGAUCAGCCACACUGUGACUGAGACACGGCCCAGACUCCUACGGGAUGCAGCAGUGGGUAAUAUUGGACAAUGGGCGAAAGCCUGAUCCAGCAAUGCCGCGUGAGUGAUGAAGGCCUUAGGGUUGUAAAGCUCUUUUACCCGGGAUGAUAAUGACAGUACCGGGAGAAUAAGCUCCGGCUAACUCCGUG
rnacentral:rRNA from 1 species